rnacentral:rRNA from 1 species
AUUGAACGCUGGCGGCAGGCUUAACACAUGCAAGUCGAACGGUAACAUAAAGAAGCUUGCUUCUUUGAUGACGAGUGGCGGACGGGUGAGUAAUGCUUGGGAAUCUAGCUUAUGGAGGGGGAUAACUACGGGAAACUGUAGCUAAUACCGCGUAAUAUCGAAAGAUUAAAGUGUGGGACCUUCGGGCCACAUGCCAUAGGAUGAGCCCAAGUGGGAUUAGGUAGUUGGUGAGGUAAAGGCUCACCAAGCCGACGAUCUCUAGCUGGUCUGAGAGGAUGACCAGCCACACUGGGACUGAGACACGGCCCAGACUCCUACGGGAGGCAGCAGUGGGGAAUAUUGCGCAAUGGGGGCAACCCUGACGCAGCCAUGCCGCGUGAAUGAAGAAGGCCUUCGGGUUGUAAAGUUCUUUCGGUAGCGAGGAAGGCAUUUAGUUUAAUAGACUAAGUGAUUGACGUAACUACAGAAGAAGC